CCGAAACCAAUAUUGUUUUUCCUCUCUUUCUCUCAAAACUCAACUCCAGACCCCUCCAUCUCUCUCGAUCCCUACUUCAGGUGCACACAUCACACCUUCUUCCCUAUCACCACUCACCUCUCAUCUUCCACCCUCCUGCUCACCUCUUCGGCGGACACCUGUGGAUGAACCGGCCUCUCACCAGCCAAUUUAUGACACUCCGGUGACUAAACCCGACCCUCGGUGGUCACCCCCUUUCCGACAACACCCACUAGUAAACAAACCCCCUCCCCUCUCUGGUGGAACCGUUGGCAACCGGAACCGGUGACGAUGCCAGUGGAUUUUCUAGCGAAGCAACAUGAAUUCAGGCGACAAGAAUCAGAGAGAGAAGAGAGAGAAUCGGAGGAUGAGAGAGCAGCGGUUGUUCCUUUGGUUACCCACUGUCCGACGGCGGCGGCGGCGGCUGACGAUUCAGGCGAGGGCGAUGACGGUUGAAGUCCGAUGAUGAUGUUGCUGUGUCAAUAGGUGAGGAAGAUGAUGUGAUGUUGAAGGUGAUGUUCAUGUUCGGGUAAUGGUUUGUUCUCGGGUCAGGUCAGCCGAAAGUUCAAGAGUUUUGAGUGAAAGUUCAAGAGUUUUGAGUCGAACUUGUGUCAGUUUUUUCAGCUUCGGGUUCAGGCCACUAUGGUGCGGGUCAAGUAUGGUUCGAGUUUUUCAGCGGGUUUCGGGUCAACCCGGGUCAAACCCGGUCAACAUAUGUUAAAAUCAGUCAACAACAGCCAACCCAGUCAGAUGUGGGUUCGAGUCAACACAUCGAGUCUUGCGGUUCGUGGUUCGGUUCGGUCGACUCGGUCAAACCGAGUCCACUCGGUCAACUGAUUCAACUCGGUCCACAGAGUCAACUCAGCGAGUCAACUCAGCCGGCCAACUCAGUUGACUCGGUCAACUAAGUCAGCAUUUCGACACGAGAAGAUGGAAUGUCGUAGUUGCAUGCUAGCUAAAUACACGUUCUUGGAAUGACAUCACGGAAUCACGUUAAGCUAGCUUUGCACAAGGAUAUCCAGGUUACUUUUUCAAAUUAUGGCACGGUUGGAAUAGGAGAACCAUGUGGAGUCGAGUACUUAGUGGCGUUCAUUUUCUAUAAGUCUUAAGCUUAUUUGCUUCCGCUGUGCAAUGAAGAUACCGGUCCAGUCAUGCCAGCUCUGAUAUUUCAGGGUGUGACAUUGAAUCUUCGAUUAAUCCCGACUCUGGGAUGGAGAAACAAAUUAUUAUUGUGCGUUAGCUAAAACGCAUCCCGGAUCUCCGACUAAUCACGAGGAAUAAGAGGGACUAAAUGUGCCAAAUGGCCAAAGAUGGAAAGUCCAAGGACUAAACAUGUAAAAUUCUCAAAAUUCAUAUUCUGGAGGUCUCAUACGGACCGCAAAGCUUUAUCGCUUACGGUCCGUAAGCCUAUUUGAAAUUCAGCGCGUUUAAGGUCCUUACGGGCCGUAAGCACUUAACCCUUAUGGUUUGUAAGGGACUGCCAGAGGCAGUUUUGCUUGCAGCCCAAGGCCAGCUGCCAUUUUGCCACCUAUCUCGCAUUUCUAGCAUUCUUGCUCAGUCUUUGCCACCUCGAGGACAGUUGCAAACAUCUUAGGAUGAUCAGGGACACUUGUCUUGAUCUCUUUCAUCAUCCUCAAGUAUAAAUAGGCCUUGGAUUCUUACAAACAACUUGCUUAUUCACUCAUUUCUUCUCUCUAACUUCUUGGAGCUAUCCUCUGGAUAAGAGGACUCCUCUCAUAGUGAAUUAUCUGCUCAACACUUCCAAGUAAGUGUUUACAUUAGUGCAAUUUCAUUUUAUUUAGUUAUUUUGAAGACAAAGUCAAACAAA